GCUCUAUUCCAGAAGCAGUCUGGAGCACAAAGAAUCCCUAAUCACUGACAUUAAGAAAGAAGAAAAAUAUUCCUAGGACGAUCCUGGAGAGCAAAGGUCAUCAGCAGUCACUUGACUUUCCUUGGAUUUCUCAACUGCAGUAGUCACAUGGUCUGCUGAAAAUGAAUUCUCUUUAUUUUCAUCUGAUUUCAAGGAAUUAUGGUUUUCAGUGAUUUCUUCAUUUGGAUCUAUUUUGAGACAGAGUAAUAGCAUUAAAACCCCCUUCUGAAUUAAUAAGGCAUUUGUUGCUGAAACGCAAAGUGUGACAAGCCAAUGGAGUAUUUUAUGGGUGCAAAGGAAAUUAUAUGUCAAAAGCAAUGGAGAGAAAACAUUUGAGAAAAUGGAAGAAGUGCUGAGACACUGGAGUCUACCCUGAAAGAUAAAGCUUCACCUGAGGAGAUCUGCAAAUUAGUAGCUUUUUGCCAGAAGGCAUUCUCCAGUCUAUGCAGCUCAAGUAAUAGAAGGCUACAGCCUUGGUGGAAUGACUUGAGGGAACAGGGGACUGAGUCUAGGACCAUCAGAUCAGCCAAUAAGUAUGUGGAAAAUAGCAGAGGACAGUGACCACAAAAUCUGCAUAUGAAAUUCACCAAAAACCUUUACCACCUCUAUUUGUGGCAUAAGGGAGACCUCAGAGGAUCCUGUAAAAGCAUAGAAGCUAGAAACUGAAAAGAAUUAAGCAGAAAUUUCAGCUGAUAUCCACUGCAGGAGAAACAGGAUUGGGAAUUUGUGUCCAGCCAUGAUAUCCACUUGCUAGAAAAUAUGUUUGAAGGG
ensembl:lncRNA MAP9-AS1 MAP9 antisense RNA 1